rnacentral:rRNA from 1 species
GACGGAAGGUGCAAGCGCUGCUCGGAAUCACUGGGCGUAAAGGGUGCGUAGGCGGCUUGGUGGGUCUGGUGUGAAAGCCCCGGGCUCAGCCCGGGAAGGGCGCUAGAAACUGCCGAGCUCGAGUGCCGGAGGGGAGAGUGGAAUUCCUGGUGUAGCGGUGAAAUGCGCAGAUAUCAGGAGGAACACCGGUGGCGAAGGCGGGUCUCUGGGCCGUAACUGACGCUGAGGAGCGAAAGCAUGGGGAGCGAACAGG